CCUACGGGGGGCUGCAGUGGGGAAUUUUGGACAAUGGGCGCAAGCCUGAUCCAGCAAUGCCGCGUGCAGGAUGAAGGCCUUCGGGUUGUAAACUGCUUUUGUACGGAACGAAACGGUGCGCUUUAAUACAGUUUGCUAAUGACGGUACCGUAAGAAUAAGCACCGGCUAACUACGUGCCAGCAGCCGCGGUAAUACGUAGGGUGCGAGUGUUAAUCGGAAUUACUGGGCGUGAAGCGUGCGACGGCUGUGAAAUCCCCGGGCUCAACCUGGGACCUGCAUUUGUGACUGUAUAGCUAGAGUACGGUAGAGGUGGAUGGAAUUCCGCGUGUAGCAGUGAAAUGCGUAGAUAUGCGGAGGAACACCGAUGGCGAAGGCAAUCCCCUGGACCUGUACUGACGCUCAUGCACGAAAGCGUGGGGAGCAAACAGGAUUAGAUACCCUGGUAGUC
rnacentral:rRNA from 1 species